UGAGCGAUAUAGGGCCAUCAUGGCCCUCUUGUUUUUGUUUUUGAAGCUUUAGCAAAGAAAUUUGUUCAAGCAAGCAAUUAUACUCAGGUGAACGAUAUAGGGCCAUCAUGGCCCUCUUGUUUGUAUAUUAACACUUAUUGAUAAAACAUUCUUUUAAGUUAGGUUUUUACAUGUUUUAUGCUAGAAUAGCGAUAACACGUUUUCUGUUAUAGCAUCUGCAGAAUUUCUAACAGGCUUGGGCAAACAACCAGUCCCCCAGGAUUCUGUGUGUGUUAUAACGUAAAAAAAACGUGUUAUCCCAACAUUCACAUACUUAUCUUGUUCAAAAAAAACAAAAGCAGUAAAAUAUUUUUGUACAUUUUAUUAUGACCUAGUCAUAUAUUGUUCCUAUUCCAACCCUAAGAAUUCUUGAAAGUGAUUUAUAACACAUUGUUUUACAUUUGCAGGGAGGUUAAGAAAAUACCUUGUUAUGGUAGACUUGUAAAGAUUUCACUGAAGUAUGAAUUUUAAUCAAGUGUGUCAGCCAUUCCAUAGUUGAAUGUUAACUAGCAUGUGCAAUAGAUAUUAAGAAGUAUACUUUCUUCCUAAUAACACCUCAGUAUUUUUACUGUGUUUGAAGAAACUGAAAAAAAAAUCUGCUAUGUGCAACUUAAUAGCUUUUGAAAUAAAAGACAUUUGAAGUAAUACUGUCUCACUUUGUGUAUCAAAAUACAACAGAACUCAAAGUUCUAGAUAUAUGAAUGUAAUAAAAGAACUUGAAAAGUUUUAUUUAUUUUUCUCCAUUUAUAGCUUGGUCACAUCCUUAUUAAAUUUAAUCACAGAAUACAUCACAUGGAUGACUGUGAGGUCUAUGUUAAUUGACACUUGUAGUUGAAUAUCAUUUAUUUUCAUCUGUUUUAACUUGUAGAUCUUAAUGAAUAAAAGAAUGACAUCUUUUUUAGAA
rnacentral:lncRNA from 1 species